rnacentral:rRNA from 1 species
GACGAACGCUGGCGGCGUGCUUAACACAUGCAAGUCGAACGGAAAGGCCCUGCUUUUGUGGGGUGCUCGAGUGGCGAACGGGUGAGUAACACGUGAGUAACCUGCCCUUGACUUUGGGAUAACUUCAGGAAACUGGGGCUAAUACCGGAUAGGAGCUCCUGCUGCAUGGUGGGGGUUGGAAAGUUUCGGCGGUUGGGGAUGGACUCGCGGCUUAUCAGCUUGUUGGUGGGGUAGUGGCUUACCAAGGCUUUGACGGGUAGCCGGCCUGAGAGGGUGACCGGCGGCGAGGGGGGGUGGCAGACGCCCCGUAGGCGUAGGGGAGGAGGGGGGGGGGAAAGUGGCGCGGGGGCGGGAAGCCGCAGGCAGAGACGGCGGUGGGGGGAGGGCGGCCGCGGGUUUGUAGCCGGCUUGGGCCGGUGACGAGGCGGGGGUGAGGGUGAUGGGGAAAACAGAACCGGCAAACAGCGGGCCAGCGGCGGGGGUAAUAAGGGGAAGAGCCGACGUCCGAAC